UGAACGUUGCUGUUGCUCUAGGAUGAAGACAUCCAAAUGCCCACUUUAAUAGAGAGAUGAAACAGAGCCACAAGAAGGUGUGAGGUGUAGAGCUCCAGUAACUAUGCAGGACCACUGAAACUGGAAGUCACAUACCCAGUGUGGCAGAGCAGAGAGAAAGAAGGAGCCUAGGUCACUGAUGACUCUCUGAACUUCCUGUCUCUGGACUUAUUUUUCAAAGUGAAAAUAUACUUUCAUGUGGUUGAGCCAAAAUUACUCUGGAUUUUUAAUUAGAUGCAAAGAGCCUAAAUGCUAAUUAAUACAAGUAACAGAUUGUUUAUUGUUAAUAAAUAAAACAUUAAUCAAAAAUAAAAGUGUAUUGAGUUGUUUAUUCAGCAAUUCCAGUGAGGAUUUCACCCUGUAGAUAUGCACCAAGAUAUAGUAUUGUUUGCAAGAGCAAACACUACAAGCAACCUAAGCAUCCAUGCAUGGGCACUGGUUACACAGACAAGCCUUUAGUGGGUUAUCAGGGAGCCAGUCAAACGGUGAGAUCUGUGUUGCCGUGAAAGAGCCUCAGUUCUUAUCAUUCAGUGAAAAUGAAUGAUUGUUCCAUCUUCAAGAAGGAGAGCAGUUAGAAGGCUAUGUCAAUAGACCAACAAAGAGGCAGGACUUUUCUUCUUACAAAGUCUAUGGAAGUGUGCUUUACCUAGCAAUUCCAUUCCUCCUUGUUAAUCUUCAUCAAGCUGCCUUUAAAGCCAGCAGACAAAUGGAAUGUCCCUGAGUGUGGAGUUCAUCUAAAUGCCUGCAGGAGAAACUCCGUUCCCUCAAAUGGGUGUGGGAGUGAUAUGAAGAUUUGCUCAAAGCCAAAGAGCUUCAAAAUUAAAGCAAGAGAUUAGCUACAGAUGGACAAGAAUCAGAUUGCUAUUGGACUUCUCAGUGGCUAUACUGGAUAAAAGAGACAAGAGAACAAUAUCUUCAACAUUCUGAGGGAAAAUUUCUUUCUAUCUAGAGUCCACUACCGAAUCAGGCUCUCCUUCAGGUAUGAGCAAAAUAAAAGCAUUUUCAGACAUGCAUGGGUAUGAAAGUUAUCCUUUUGUGUAAGUCCUCUCUGAAAGAGUUACUAAUUUAAAAUGUUGUCUUUGUUAAGCACUAUGUUUCAGUCUAUUUUUAGAUAUUUUCUUUUUUGCUGUUGCAAUUUUGGUCUUUAUUUCCAUUAUGUUUUCUUUUUUAACUUUGAGAUGUAAUUGACAUAUCCAUGAUGUUUUCUAACCGGUUGUUUGUAUAGAUGAAAGCAAUUAAAUUUUGCACACUAAUUUGAUACCCAUCCAUCUCAUAAGUCCUCA